rnacentral:rRNA from 1 species
AACGAACGCUGGCGGCAUGCCUAACACAUGCAAGUCGAACGAGACCUUCGGGUCUAGUUGCGCACGGGUGCGUAACGCGUGGGAACCUGCCCUUAGGUUCGGAAUAACUCCCCGUAAGGGGUGCUAAUACCGGAUAAUGUCUUCGGACCAAAGAUUUAUCGCCUUUGGGUGGGCCCGCGUUGGAUUAGCUAGUUGGUAGGGUAAAAGCCUACCAAGGCGACGAUCCAUAGCUGGUCUGAGAGGAUGAUCUGCCACACUGGGACUGAGACACGGCCCAGACUCCUACGGGAGGCAGCAGUGGGGAAUAUUGGACAAUGGGCGAAAGCCUGAUCCAGCAAUGCCGCGUGAGUGAUGAAGGCCUUAGGGUUGUAAAGCUCUUUUACCCGGGAUGAUAAUGACAGUACCGGGAGAAUAAGCUCCGGCUAACUCCGUG